rnacentral:lncRNA from 10 species
UGACCUCAGGUGAUCCACCCACCUACACCUUCCAAAGUGCUGGGAUUACAGGCGUGAGCCACACUCUAUCUUUUUUUUUUUUUUUUUUUUUAAUUCUUCAGCUAAAACAGUGGAAAAGGUGAUUUAUUAUAUGGUUGUUACACUCGGCCACAAAUAAACACAGAAAUAGUCCAGAAUGUCACAGAGGUGAUCGGCGAUCAGAGGGCGAUGAAGUUCUAGAUCCAUUGACACAAGCUCUAGACAGUAGCAUGCAGUCCCACAACUUGUACCAGCAUCCCCAGCGUCUGGCAUUCCAUGUUUCUGCUCCUGUGGCCUCCACGGUGCAACAAGCUAGCGGUUUACUUGGACCUCUGCCUCAUCUUUCUUCUUUUGCGCUUCAGCCUGCGCAUUCGCUUCUUCCUCCACUUGGCUCUCAUGGCACAGAGGUUUCCAAAAAAAAUGGCGCUAAGGCCGAGAGCCACACUCUAUCUUUUUUUAAGAGACAAGAUCUCACUUUGUUGCCCAGGCUGGGGUGCCAUCAUAGCUCACUGCAGCCUCGAAC